GGGUUGUGAGGUUAAGCGACUAAGCGUACACGGUGGAUGCCCUGGCAGUCAGAGGCGAUGAAGGGCGUGCUAAUCUGCGAUAAGCGCCGGUAAGGUGAUAUGAACCGUUAUAACCGGCGAUACCCGAAUGGGGAAACCCAGUGUGAUUCGUCACACUAUCAUUAACUGAAUCCAUAGGUUAAUGAGGCGAACCGGGGGAACUGAAACAUCUAAGUACCCCGAGGAAAAGAAAUCAACCGAGAUUCCCCCAGUAGCGGCGAGCGAACGGGGAGGAGCCCAGAGCCUGAAUCAGCAUGUGUGUUAGUGGAAGCGUCUGGAAAGGCGCGCGAUACAGGGUGACAGCCCCGUACACAAAAGCGCAUGUGCUGUGAGCUCGAUGAGUAGGGCGGGACACGUGGUAUCCUGUCUGAAUAUGGGGGGACCAUCCUCCAAGGCUAAAUACUCCUGACUGACCGAUAGUGAACCAGUACCGUGAGGGAAAGGCGAAAAGAACCCCGGCGAGGGGAGUGAAAAAGAACCUGAAACCGUGUACGUACAAGCAGUGGGAGCCCCACCACUAAGCCAGUGGUGAACUCCACAUCCGCAUCCUUUGCUGAGGAUACGGUUAACGGAGCGAAAGCGACGUUCAACCGCAAAACAAGCAGAGGGGGCUUAGUGGUGGGGUGACUGCGUACCUUUUGUAUAAUGGGUCAGCGACUUAUAUUCUGUAGCAAGGUUAACCGAAUAGGGGAGCCGGAGGGAAACCGAGUCUUAAUUGGGCGUUAAGUUGCAGGGUAUAGACCCGAAACCCGGUGAUCUAGCCAUGGGCAGGUUGAAGGUUGGGUAACACUAACUGGAGGACCGAACCGACUAAUGUUGAAAAAUUAGCGGAUGACCUGUGGCUGGGGGUGAAAGGCCAAUCAAACCGGGAGAUAGCUGGUUCUCCCCGAAAGCUAUUUAGGUAGCGCCUCGUGAAUUCAUCUCCGGGGGUAGAGCACUGUUUCGGCUAGGGGGCCAUCCCGGCUUACCAACCCGAUGCAAACUGCGAAUACCGGAGAAUGUUAUCACGGGAGACACACGGCGGGUGCUAACGUCCGUCGUGAAGAGGGAAACAACCCAGACCGCCAGCUAAGGUCCCAAAGUCAUGGUUAAGUGGGAAACGAUGUGGGAAGGCCCAGACAGCCAGGAUGUUGGCUUAGAAGCAGCCAUCAUUUAAAGAAAGCGUAAUAGCUCACUGGUCGAGUCGGCCUGCGCGGAAGAUGUAACGGGGCUAAACCAUGCACCGAAGCUGCGGCAGCGAACGUAUCACUUAAAGCGAUUCAGCGGGUUACGAUUGACGGAGCGAAGCGACGUCAAAGCGUAUACAAAGUCGAGUCGGUUUAAGGAUACGUUCGUUGGGUAGGGGAGCGUUCUGUAAGCCCGUGAAGGUGGCCUGUGAGGGUUGCUGGAGGUAUCAGAAGUGCGAAUGCUGACAUAAGUAACGAUAAAGCGGGUGAAAAGCCCGCUCGCCGGAAGACCAAGGGUUCCUGUCCAACGUUAAUCGGGGCAGGGUGAGUCGACCCCUAAGGCGAGGCCGAAAGGCGUAGUCGAUGGGAAACGGGUUAAUAUUCCCGUACUUGGUGUUACUGCGAAGGGGGGACGGAGAAGGCUAUGUUGGCCGGGCGACGGUUGUCCCGGUUUAAGCGUGUAGGUGUGUGUUCCAGGUAAAUCCGGUUCACUUUAACACUGAGGCGUGACGACGAGGCACUACGGUGCUGAAGCAACAAAUGCCCUGCUUCCAGGAAAAGCCUCUAAGCAUCAGGUAACACGAAAUCGUACCCCAAACCGACACAGGUGGUCAGGUAGAGAAUACCAAGGCGCUUGAGAGAACUCGGGUGAAGGAACUAGGCAAAAUGGUGCCGUAACUUCGGGAGAAGGCACGCUGACACGUAGGUGAAGUGAUUUACUCAUGGAGCUGAAGUCAGUCGAAGAUACCAGCUGGCUGCAACUGUUUAUUAAAAACACAGCACUGUGCAAACACGAAAGUGGACGUAUACGGUGUGACGCCUGCCCGGUGCCGGAAGGUUAAUUGAUGGGGUCAGCGCAAGCGAAGCUCCUGAUCGAAGCCCCGGUAAACGGCGGCCGUAACUAUAACGGUCCUAAGGUAGCGAAAUUCCUUGUCGGGUAAGUUCCGACCUGCACGAAUGGCGUAAUGAUGGCCAGGCUGUCUCCACCCGAGACUCAGUGAAAUUGAACUCGCUGUGAAGAUGCAGUGUACCCGCGGCAAGACGGAAAGACCCCGUGAACCUUUACUAUAGCUUGACACUGAACAUUGAGCCUUGAUGUGUAGGAUAGGUGGGAGGCUUUGAAGUGUGGACGCCAGUCUGCAUGGAGCCGACCUUGAAAUACCACCCUUUAAUGUUUGAUGUUCUAACGUGGACCCGUAAUCCGGGUUGCGGACAGUGUCUGGUGGGUAGUUUGACUGGGGCGGUCUCCUCCUAAAGAGUAACGGAGGAGCACGAAGGUUGGCUAAUCCUGGUCGGACAUCAGGAGGUUAGUGCAAUGGCAUAAGCCAGCUUGACUGCGAGCGUGACGGCGCGAGCAGGUGCGAAAGCAGGUCAUAGUGAUCCGGUGGUUCUGAAUGGAAGGGCCAUCGCUCAACGGAUAAAAGGUACUCCGGGGAUAACAGGCUGAUACCGCCCAAGAGUUCAUAUCGACGGCGGUGUUUGGCACCUCGAUGUCGGCUCAUCACAUCCUGGGGCUGAAGUAGGUCCCAAGGGUAUGGCUGUUCGCCAUUUAAAGUGGUACGCGAGCUGGGUUUAGAACGUCGUGAGACAGUUCGGUCCCUAUCUGCCGUGGGCGCUGGAGAACUGAGGGGGGCUGCUCCUAGUACGAGAGGACCGGAGUGGACGCAUCACUGGUGUUCGGGUUGUCAUGCCAAUGGCACUGCCCGGUAGCUAAAUGCGGAAGAGAUAAGUGCUGAAAGCAUCAGAAGUAUGUGACUGACUU
rnacentral:rRNA from 1 species